rnacentral:tRNA from 1 species
GUGCAUGUAGCUCAGUGGACAGAGCGUUUGCCUCCGGAGCAAAAAGUCGUGGGUUCAACUCCCAUCAUGCACA